rnacentral:rRNA from 1 species
GUCUACGGCCAUACCACCCUGAACGCGCCCGAUCUCGUCUGAUCUCGGAAGCUAAGCAGGGUCGGGCCUGGUUAGUACUUGGAUGGGAGAAAACAAAAAGGUCUAAGCU